ACUGCAUUUGUAGAUCCAGAGAGAUGAGUCAAGGUUCCAAAAUUAGUGAUUGCUAUUCAUGCGUGUGCUUGAUGGGAUUUGUGCACACUAGCAAAUCUAACCUCCUACAUUGUCAUACAGCAAGAAAAAUUGUACUAAAGCAUACAGAACUGAGAUUUCUCCCUAGGAAGAAACGACAAUAUCACAAAACUAUUAAGCACCAAAAUUUUAUAAUUCUAGUGUCUUCACUCAUCAUCAUCCUCAUCCUCAUCA
rnacentral:misc_RNA from 1 species